GUAUUUUGAUGCAGCUUUUGUCAGUCAUCACUAACACCAAACAAACACCUUCUCUCCCUUCCCUCUUCUUCCUCCACCAAAUUCAGUGAGGAGGAUCUCAGAAGAAGCAUUGGCCAGAGGAACUCGGCUUUUUCCUUCCACGCAUGACUGCAAGGGGCAGAGACCCCAUAAGGGGUCUUCUCCGGCCACAAAUGGCCCUCGCAUUUGCCAUUGCUCUUCUCUCCAUCACUGUGGUUUCCGUCAAUGCUGAUGGUUACCCUUACUAUUCUCCUCCUCCACCCUACCAGUACAGUUCACCACCACCACCUCCUUAUGAGUACAAAUCACCACCUCCACCACCUUACGAGCACAAGUCUCCACCUUAUGUCUACAAGUCACCACCACCACCCUCUCCUUCACCUCCUCCUCCUUACGUCUACAAGUCACCACCACCACCUCCUUACGUCUACAAGUCUCCCCCUCCACCACCUUAUGAGCACAAGGCUCCACCGUAUUACUACAAGUCACCACCACCUCCUUCUCCAUCUCCUCCACCACCUUACUACUACAAGUCUCCUCCACCACCCUCUCCCUCACCUCCUCCUCCCUACUACUACAAGUCUCCACCACCUCCUUCACCAUCUCCUCCUCCACCGUACUACUACAAGUCCCCACCACCUCCUUCACCAUCUCCUCCUCCCCCGUACUACUACAAGUCUCCUCCACCUCCUUCACCAUCUCCUCCACCACCUUACUACUACAAGUCACCACCUCCACCUGAAAAGUCUCCGGCUCCAACUCCUUACUACUACAAGUCUCCUCCUCCUCCAUCUCCAAAACCGUACUACUAUAAGUCUCCACCACCACCAUCUCCAACUCCAUACUACUACAAAUCCCCUCCUCCUCCAUCUCCAACUCCUUACUACUACAAGUCUCCACCACCACCCUCUCCAACCCCAUACUACUACAAGUCUCCUCCUCCACCACCACCUUACUACUACAAAUCUCCUCCUCCUCCAUCUCCAACUCCUUACUAUUACAAGUCUCCACCACCACCCUCCCCAACUCCUUACUAUCCAUCCCCCACUCCUUACUACUACAAGUCUCCACCGCCACCAUCUCCAACUCCCUACUACUACAAAUCCCCACCACCACCUUCCCCAACUCCCUACUACUAUAAAUCUCCACCGCCACCAUCUCCAACUCCUUACUAUCCAUCCCCAACUCCCUACUACUACAAAUCUCCACCACCACCAUCACCAACUCCCUACUACUAUAAGUCUCCACCACCCCCAUCACCAACUCCCUAUUACUACAAAUCUCCACCACCACCGUCACCGACCCCUUACUAUCCAUCCCCAAAACCGUACUACUAUAAGUCUCCACCACCUCCUUCACCUACUCCUUACUACUACACUUCACCACCUCCACCCAAAUAUCCUCCUCCCUACUACUAUAGCUCCCCUCCUCCACCGGUUGUGUACCCCCCACACCCCUACCAUCCCCACCACCACCCCUUGAUCGUCAAGGUUGUGGGUAAAGUCUACAGCUACAAGUGCUACGACUGGGAGUAUCCCGAAAAGUCUCACAACAAGAAACACCUCAAAGGUGCUACUGUGGAGGUUAAAUGCAAAGCAGGAAGAAACAUCAUUAAGGCUUAUGGUGAAACUAAGAGCAAUGGAAAAUACAGCAUCACAGUUAAGGACUUUGACUAUGCCAAAUAUGGUUCCGUAGUGUGCAAGGCCAAGCUUUAUGCCCCACCUAAGGACUCGCCCUUCAACAUACCUACCAAGCUGAAUGAGGGAACAGACUUGAAGGUGAAAUCUAAAGAUAAAUAUGAAGUUGUGCUGAAGGCUAAGCCAUUUGCUUAUGCUUCCAAGAAGCACUUCAAGGACUGUGAAAAGCCUAAGCCUUCACCAACUCCAUACUAUUACAAGUCACCUCCUCCUCCCUCUCCAGUUUACUAUUACAAGUCACCACCACCACCAUCACCUACUUAUGUUUACAAAUCACCACCACCACCAGUGAAGUCACCUCCCUAUUAUUACCAAUCUCCACCUCCACCAUCACCAAAACCUCAACCACCAUACUAUUAUCACUCUCCACCUCCACCAUCACCUAAACCAUACUACUACCAAUCUCCACCUCCACCAUCACCAUCACCAAAACCUUACUACUACCAAUCUCCACCUCCUCCAUCACCAAAGCCCUACUACUACCAAUCUCCACCUCCACCAUCUCCAAAGCCUUACUACUACCAAUCACCACCUCCCCCAUCACCAAAGCCUUACUACUAUCAAUCUCCACCUCCUCCAUCACCAAAGCCUUACUACUACCAAUCUCCACCACCUCCAUCACCAAAGCCUUACUACUACCAAUCACCACCUCCUCCAUCACCUAAACCUUACUACUACCAAUCUCCACCUCCUCCAUCACCUAAGCCUUACUAUUACCAAUCACCACCUCCCCCAUCACCAAAGCCAUACUACUACCAAUCACCACCUCCUCCAUCACCUAAACCUUAUUACUACCAAUCUCCACCUCCUCCAUCACCUAAACCUUACUACUACCAAUCACCACCUCCUCCAUCACCAAAGCCAUACUACUACCAAUCUCCACCUCCUCCCUCACCAAAACCUUACUACUACCAAUCUCCACCACCUCCAUCACCAAAGCCUUACUACUACCAAUCGCCACCCCCUCCAUCACCAAAACCUAAACCUCCAUACUAUUACAAGUCUCCACCUCCCCCAUCACCUUCUCCACCACCUCCAUACUACUACAAGUCUCCACCUCCCCCAUCACCAGUACCAAAGCCUCCUUACUACUACCAAUCUCCACCCCCACCAUCACCAAAGCCUAAACCUCCCUACUACUACCACUCUCCACCUCCACCAUCCCCUUCACCUCCCCCUCCAUACUACUACCACUCUCCCCCUCCACCAUCCCCCUCACCUCCCCCUCCAUACUACUACAAAUCUCCCCCUCCACCAUCACCAAAACCUAAACCCCCAUACUACUACCAUUCUCCACCUCCACCAUCACCCUCUCCUCCCCCUCCAUACUACUAUAAGUCUCCACCCCCACCUUCACCAUCCCCUCCUCCUCCAUACUACUAUAAAUCUCCACCACCACCUUCACCAUCCCCUCCUCCCCCUUACUACUAUAAAUCUCCACCUCCACCUUCACCAUCCCCUCCUCCCCCUUACUACUAUAAAUCUCCACCUCCACCUUCACCAUCCCCUCCUCCUCCAUACUACUAUAAAUCUCCACCACCACCUUCACCAUCCCCUCCUCCCCCAUACUACUAUAAAUCUCCACCACCACCUUCACCAUCCCCUCCACCACCUUACUACUAUCAUUCCCCACCCCCACCUAAAGAGAGCACACACCCUCCCUACUACUACCACUCACCACCACCACCAUCCCCAUCACCGCCUCCUCCAUACUACUACAAAUCCCCUCCACCCCAUCCCCAUCUCCACCACCUCCUUACUACUAUAAAAGUCCUCCUCCACCAUCUCCCACUCCUCAUCCUCCCUACUACUACAAAUCCCCUCCACCACCGACGUCGUAUCCUUCACCUCCUUACCACUACGUGAGCCCUCCACCACCUUCUCCAUCUCCACCCCCACCAUACCAUUACUCAUCACCACCUCCUCCCUCCCCAGCUCCCGCUCCCAAGUACAUUUACAAGUCACCUCCCCCUCCAGCUUACGUCUAUGCUUCCCCACCUCCACCUAUCUACAAGUAAGCUCCCACUGUGGAACCACCAUUCACGAUAAAUCAUGUUGUAGUUUUCAUCAAGGAAUAAAGGCAAGCUCCAUUUGGAGUGAAGUGAAAUAUCUAUCUUCCUGUCCAAGUUCUUUGAAUAAAAGUCUGAAGGUGUCAUCUACGUGCUACAAUAUCUCAGAUUCAGACCCGCUUGAUUCUAUUUGUUUGAUGGCCAUCUUGCACGUCCUCAUCUUAUUGUGUUCAAGUCACGGACAAAUCAAAACAAGGAAGAGAGAUUUAAAGUGUAAAUGCCAAGUCAAAAGUACAGUCCACUCUUAGUCAUCUCUUUAAUUUAUUUGUUCAUAGAUUAAAAUAUGGCCGUGUAUGAUUGCUUUUCUAUUUAUCGUGGAAUUUUUGUAUUUUACCCGUUCUUGUGUUUGCAAUAAGUAAUAGUAAUAAAGCAGCAAUUCAAAUUCUGCUCUCAAA